GAGGGUGGAUUUCAGGGGUAGAGCGUGUGCUUAGCAUGCAUGAGGUCCUGGGUUCAAUCCCCAGUACCUCCA
rnacentral:tRNA from 1 species